GCAUCACUGAGACAGACAGCAUACAAAGAAAUCGACAGACUAUACACACAGUACCCGUUAUUAUCAUCAUCAUCAUUGAGAUAUGGAGAUAGAAGAGGACCUCUAUGCCAAUGUAGAGGAGAUCAGUGUGAAAGACUGUGAUGAUCUGGCUGCAGGUUAUGAGACUUUACACCAGAGUCCACAGGCUGGAACAAGACUGAAGCAUGAGAAUCAGAACUGUCAGCCUUACAAGCUGGCUACAGUUUCUCUGGGACUGCUGUGCCUUCUCCUACUAAGCACAGUCAUAGGUCUCUCUGUGCUCUAUGACGAUGACUACAAUCAACUGUCCAGAACUCAGUAUCUCCUAACAGCCAACCACACCACAGAGCUUCAGACUAGUUAUGAAAACCUGACUAAAGAGAAAGAACAGUUGGAGAAGGAGAGAGACCAGUUACAGAUCAGUUAUAAAAGCUUGACUAAAGAAAGAGACCAGUCACAAACUCAUUAUAACACCAUAACUAGAGAGAGAGACCAGUUACAAAGGAAAAUUUCAGAGCAGGAGAAAAAGAUAUCAGAAGAACUGGGAUGCUGCCCUGACGGUUGGAGGAGAUUCGGAUCUAGCUGCUAUUACCUUUCAACAGAGAGUAAAACUUGGACUGAGAGCAGAGCAGACUGUAUAAGGGGAGGAGCAGACCUGGUGAUCAUAAACAGCAGAGAGGAACAGGUGUUUCUAAACAAAAUGGGAAAAGAUGUGCACUUCUGGAUUGGUCUGACUGACUCAGAGAUGGAAGGUUUCUGGAAAUGGGUGGAUGGAACAACAUCAACAACAACGUUCUGGAGAAGAGGAGAGCCAAAUAAUGCUGAUGGGGAGGAGGAUUGUGUGGUAUUCAACAGGUUUAUUCAUCUGUCUUGGGACUGGGAAAUGAUUCAGUCAUGGAAUGACCAGCCUUGCACAGACAUUCAGAGCAUCGAUGAGACAGACAGCAUACAAAGACAGAAACUAUACACGCAGUACCAGUUAUCAUCAUCAUUGAGAUAUGGAGAUAGAAGAGGACAUCUAUGCCAAUGUAGAGGAGAUCAGUGUGAAAGACUGUAAUGAUCCGGCUGCAGGUUACGAGACUUUACACCAGAGUCCACAGGCUGGAACAAGACUGAAGCAUGAGAAUCAGAACUCUCAGCCUUGGAGGAUGGCUACAGUUUCCCUGGGCCUGCUGUGUGUUGUCUUACUGAUCACAGUCACAAGCCUCUCUGUGCACUAUGAUGAACAGUACUACGGACUGUCCAGACUCCAGACUUCAUACAACAACCUGACUGAGGAGAUAAUCCGGCUGCAGAGGUCAGUUUCAGAGCAGGAGAAGAAGAUAUCAGAGCUUGGACCCUGUCCUGAUGGCUGGAGGAGACACAGAUGUAGCUGUUAUUACUUCUCUAAUAACAGUAAAACUUGGAGUGAGAGCAGACAAGACUGCAGAGAGAGAGGAGCAGAUCUGUUGAUCAUAAACAGCAGAGAGGAACAGCAUUUUCUAAACACAUUGGGGGGGGAAAUGCAUUUCUGGAUUGGUCUGACUGACUCAGAGCAGGAAGGGAUCUGGAAAUGGGUGGAUGGAACAACAUCAACCACAACACAGUUCUGGAGAAAAGGAGAGCCAAAUAAUGCCCAGGGGGGUGAGAACUGUGCAGUCUUCAACAGCUUCAGAGAUACCCUGGGAAUUAUACAAUCAUGGAAUGACCAGCCUUGCUCAUUGCUUAUCCAUUGGGUAUGCAACUACACACCUGACGUGUCCUCCUAAUAGGCCUACACAUCGUGAUGGCAUCUGCCACACAGGAGAAUAUCUGAAUUCCAUUGUAAAAAAAAACGAAGCAUCACCUACAAGUUGAUGCUGACAAGUCCUGGCAGGAAAACAAAUGACCCAUAACACAUGUAAAAAAAAAAAAAAGUCCCGCUAAUUGGCUAACGAUUCAAAUGAAAGCUAACAUUGAAUCGACGUCAGACGUUAAUUCUUCAAGUCGGCUGUUUUUGGCAUAUGUUUCAGAUAAUCUGAAUUCCCUUUUGAAUUUGCAAUAGAUUGUUUAGAUUUUUUCCGACACAAAGGUUAAUGUCUCCUGCAUUUCAUUAGUAGCACAAAUUGUAGAGAAAAUUCAAAUGAAUCUUGACAAAACAUUCCUGUUGACUAUGACUAAUAUGCGCCCUCUACUGACUAGAGAGGCAUAUAGAAGGUCAAAGGGCAGAACAUCACAGUAGCAGGUGGAAUUACUUCAGAUUUGCUUAAGAGAAAUGAUUGUGUUGUAAUAUGAGAAUGCAACUAAAUUGGAAGCUGAUGCGACUUGUAGGUUCAGUCAUAAUCUAUCCACCCAACAGUGGCUUCCACUGUGAACAAGACAGCUGCUUUACAAUGAUCAUUUCUUUGUCAGAUGGAAUGAUUUUACAAAUAAACAUUUUU